rfam:Myotis brandtii contig233926, whole genome shotgun sequence.
GGCAGUUCUCAGGUGGCGUACCGCAGAAUUGGGCUCCCUUCUCUCUGGGUCCAAGUGUGUCACCUGAGAACUGCA